AAAAUCCGUCGACUUUAAAAAUCGUGAGGGUUCAAGUCCCUCUAUCCCCAAAAAGUCUAUCUGACCCCCAACUGUUUAUUAUAUCCCU
rnacentral:tRNA from 1 species